UUUACAUUUUUUUAUCUUUGCCUCUUUUUAUUGUCAUAUUCAAGAUACUGAUAACAGAUGUAAUUUACUGAAUACUUUUAGCACAUACAAGAGAGUAAACCCACCAUUUAAAUAGCUUCACUGUAUUUAAAAAAAAAAAAAAAAAAAAAAGGAAAAAAGAGGUGGUUACUCAUUUCAGUACAAACUCAACCCAUUUCAGAAGAGCUAGACCUCUAUACAGACAAAUCAGUAAAUGGCAAUCUCACUGAGAUCACCAAAAAAAAAAAAAAAAAUUAAAAAUCAAUAUAUGCUGAAAUUUCUAUUGUUAAAAAGGAGAUAACAAAAUAUCUAUGGCUUUUAGAGCAGAUGCUAAAUGCAUUACAUUCUCAGUCAUUACCCUGCCAAAAUCUAGGCAGAAGGAUAUCUUAACAUCUCAUUGAAAAUACGAAAUAAUUUGAGAAUAGCUAUGCUGAACUUCACAUUAGAUCUUCUGUGCAUGAAGGAAGAGUUAGAAAAUAAACACAGUGGCACCUUAAGACUUAAAAGAACAGAUUACAUUCUCUGAAUGUAGCCUUGCACUUUUCUUUUGGUUGCUACAUAAAGACAAAUGGCAGCACAAACUUGUUCAUUUUCACAUGCUAGAGUACUCAGCAGCCUGCUUUUACUACCUGAGUGCACUACUUCAGCUUUUCACUCUCUGUGUUUUGUUUCUCUCUAACCUUGACCUAUGUUAUGAACACACUAAAUAUCUAAAUAGUGCUGAGAAGAAAACACUAAGAUACUUUCCCUCUACAGCACCACAGUAUAUUUAAACACACUAUAUUGAAAUAAUUUAAGAUCUGUAUUUAUUCUGAAAACUGCUCUAGUAGGCUACAGAUUAAAAUAAUUUGAAAUUAUUUCAUGGCACUGUAUGCAAACAGCUUCUCUUUCUAUUUCUACUUUAUAUAUUAAAGUAAAACCUUGUUGUUCAGCUGAUCCCGCUUAAUUGUAAAACUCUCCCAAAACUGACUGCUGUAAAUGACAGAUUCCAGCAGUUUAACAGCUGCUAUAAUAUGAAAAGCUAUUUAUUAUUUGCAAUGUUCUUGUAACAGUCUUCUCAGAGUUUAGUAGCAGCUUUACAAUCUGCAGCUUCUUGCAGGUAGGUCUCAAAGCAGAAUUUCUGGGGAAGAAGACCAUUUACUGGAUAAAAACUUGGGAUAAAAGAAAAAACAAUUAAAAAACCCCAAAAACACAAUCAGAGAACAAGUAUUUCCAACACUUUCAACCUCACUCCUGAAGUUUAACUCAGUAUGAAUUAAUCAGACUCUCAGUUCAGCUUUCUGAAGUUUCUAACAGCCUCAGAUUGACCUCUGCAGCUCCUGUUACAGGCCAUUUCCACACUGCACUC
rnacentral:lncRNA from 1 species